rnacentral:snoRNA from 1 species
ACAGGCUUUGUGAUGAUAUCGAAAAUGCAUAGUUCAUCUGAUUAUCAUGAUGAGACUUUUCCAUCAAAAUGUCUUUCACCCCCAUCUGACUAGCCUUU